ACAAGAAAACAAAGACAACAAUAAACGGUUUACGGCGCUCUCGAAGCCACCCGCUGUUAAAAAUGCACGGGGAUUGAUCAGCUGGGCUGUUCUUAAAUUGAGGUAAAAACUAAUUUACACAAUGUACACAUGUAUGUACCAAUUGAAGAGCAACUGCGGGGAUCUAAAAAGUCCACCAUUGUACCGGUGGUAGCCACCUUCGUCUUUUUGAGAAGAAUAUCUUUACUUUUGGAGUGUUGGUGACGAGCUAACGCUAGCGACGAGCUAACGCUAGCAAAGAGCUAACGGCUAGCAAAGAGCUAACGCUAACGACGAGCUAACGGCUAGCAACGAGCUAACGCUAGCGAGGCCUACAUUGGACCACAAAGAAGAAGAGCGCAACGAGGACCAUGAAGAUUUUGACGAUUUAGAAGACGCUGGACUUCAACUUGCUCAACUCCUGCCGGGUGAAACACUGCAUCGACAUUGUGAGUAUAAGAAAGAGAAGGCGGAGCGUGUUGCUCAGGGGGGCCUCGGUUGCACGAGAGCGACGAAAACUUGCCGGUUCCCGUGCGCAUCGGUGACCUCGCCUGAGGAGGAAAUCGGCAAGGCAUCAAGCCACCGGAUUUGGACCGUCUCCUUGCGUGCAAGUUGGAAUUAAGCCUUCGAUGCCCUUCUGACGGCACUGGCGUCUUCAAUGACACCGAUAUUUACUAUUUACAACUAUUUAAUGACUGGGGCAGGCACGGUGGAGCAGCUGGUUAAGCGUCGGCCUCGCAGUUCCGGGGACCCGGGUUCGAUCCGGGCCCCGCCUGCGUGGAGUUUGCAUGUCCUCCCCCGUGCCUGCGUGGGUUUUCUCCGGGCACUCCGGUUUCCCCCCACACCUCAAAAACAUGCAACAUUGAUUGGACACUCUAAAUUGCCCCUCGGUGUGAUUGUGAGUGCAGCUGUUUGUCUCCAUGUGCCCUGGCGACCAGUUCAGGGUGUCCCCCGCCGAAUGCCCGUUGACAGCUGAGAUAGCCUCCAAGCACUCCCCGCGACCCUCGUGAGGAUAAGCGGCAAAAGAAAAUGGAUGGAUAUUUACAGAUUAGUUUUUGCAGCCCUGUUGGCGCUGCGCUAACGUGUUGCUGCUGUGUUACUGCCGUGUCUCACUGAUUAAGAAAGCCAGGCAGACGGAUGCUCCGCGGAGGCCGCGAGGAGAGAGGAGAACGAGAUGCUUGGCGAGGAGGCGAAGCGUUUCAGCCAGAGGGAUUUUAAUCCCUGUCCUGACAGGUCGCUUUUUUUUUUUUUUCCAGGUGAGAUGAUGGAUUUUCUUCGUCUCGAAGCGAUGUAGCAGCCAGACGUAGUGUUGUAUUAAUAGCCGGUGACAGGUCAUCUCUGGGGCGUGCUUCGAGUUAACGUCAGCUCGUGUGAGCUUCAUCCUGAAGCCUGUUCAUCUAAUUUAAAAAAAAAAAAAUGAAAAUCUACAAAAGAUGAAGUAGAAAUCGUGGAGGGGUCUGAAAUUUUCAUCGUAGGUGCGUGUCCGCAGUGAGAGAGAAUCUAAAAAGAAAAAUCCAGAAUUUUUUUUUUUUAAGUUUAUUUGCGUGAUACAACUGUCAUGAUCCUGCCGCUCCAGCCCGGGCUGUGCGGGUGCCCGCGCGGGUGCGCUGAUUGGGAGGCGCACACCUGCGCCUCACGCAGCCUGAUUAUGCUGUGGAUUUAUAUGACCCCGACGACGACUGGCCGGCGCCAGUUCGUAUGAUCUUCAUGUCCCGUUCGUGUGCUCCGGUAUCCCUGAUCGAACCUUUGUGUACCGACCUUCGCCCGUUCUCCGACCACCCUUGUAAGCCCGACUCCUUUGAUACUUCUGCCUGCCUUGAUCGUUCUCCCGUGUACCGACUCCUGCUUGCCCGCUCACCUGCUCUCUUCGCCCGACCUCCCAACUACCGCCGCUGCACCGGACUGCCUGCUCGAUCCCCGACCUCUGCAUAUAAUAAACGUGUCUCCUUGAACUACCUUGCAUCUUCCG